rnacentral:rRNA from 1 species
GAUGAACGCUGGCGGCGUGCCUAAUACAUGCAAGUCGAGCGAACGGACGAGAAGCUUGCUUCUCUGAUGUUAGCGGCGGACGGGUGAGUAACACGUGGAUAACCUACCUAUAAGACUGGGAUAACUUCGGGAAACCGGAGCUAAUACCGGAUGAUAUUUUGAACCGCAUGGUUCAAAAGUGAAAGACGGUCUUGCUGUCACUUAUAGAUGGAUCCGCGCUGCAUUAGCUAGUUGGUAAGGUAACGGCUUACCAAGGCAACGAUGCAUAGCCGACCUGAGAGGGUGAUCGGCCACACUGGAACUGAGACACGGUCCAGACUCCUACGGGAGGCAGCAGUAGGGAAUCUUCCGCAAAGGGCGAAAGCCUGACGGAGCAACGCCGCGUGAGUGAUGAAGGUCUUCGGAUCGUAAAACUCUGUUAUUAGGGAAGAACAUAUGUGUAAGUAACUGUGCACAUCUUGACGGUACCUAAUCAGAAAGCCACGGCUAACCACGUG